CGGUCCUGUCUCCUGCUGCUGGGAUACGGGAGCUGGCCCGCAGCGGCUGCCGAUGGAGCUCCGGUGUGUGAGCGCUCCCCUGUGCAAAAGGACAGGCUGAAGGCCCAGGGAGAACCAGGCGCAAAGAUUGAACAGGGAGCGCUGAGAGCACCGGACAUCUAUCGGCAGCCGCUGCCGUUAUUUCAUGUUCUCGUUGUUUAUUUGCAUUGGCGAAGUUUGUUGUCUUCUGCACUCUGGCUGAUCUUUCAGUGAUCCAGAUAUAGCUACCGUUCUGUAGCUUUGCUCUGUAUGUUUGUAGGAGUUGUAUGUGGUGACUUAUAUGUACACUGUUAGUUUUUGGAAUAGUCGCUUGGGUAAUCUGAGGUGGAGGAGUAUUUGGGGCUUAUUUAAAACUAUGCAUAGAUAUUAUCCAAAUAGUAUUUAUCUGACGGGUUAAUUCUGAUAUUGAAACUAACUGUUAUUUUUGUGGUUGAUAUCCAGAGGAUUUAUUUAAUCUGUUUUGGGAUUGUGAAUAUGUUAAAACAUUUUGGGUUGAUGUUUGUCAAUUUAUAGAUCAAUAUAUUAAUGUGGAUUUUACUUUUUGUUUUGAAAAUGUCUUAUCUGGGUUUACUAAUUUUACUUUGAUCUUUGAGCCUUUGGGAACUUGUUUUGUUUCUGAUAUCAAACCUUGACUGACAUAUCCAGCAACCGGCAGCAGCCCGUCCUCGGAUACACUCACAGCCAAUCAGAGAACACCCCUGAGAGACUCUUGCCUCCAUUGGCUGACGAGUGUCAGUGGGCGUCCCGCUGGGCGGACCGAAGUUUGGAACCGGGAACGAGUGGACCCGGUGAGAGACCCGAGAUUGGGAGCAGCUCCCCGGGUAAAGGCUGCAACAGCGGCCGGAGUUUUGAAUCCUUCCGACGGCGGAGGUGAAGAUUCGGGCGGAGACACCGUGAGAUGUUUCAACCACACAGGGGUGCCCGGUCUUUCCCCGCCGUGGAUCGGAGCCUGUUGUCCGGAGUUUCCUCCCGGUCCUGUCUCCUGCUGCUGGGAUCCGGGAGCUGGCCCGCAGCGGCUGCCGAUGGAACUCCGGUGCUGUGAGCGCUCCCCUGUGCAAAAGGACAGGCUGAAGGUCAAAGGAGAACCAGGCGCAAAGGUGACUAAAGUAGCCGGAGGAAGCAACAGGACUUGUGCUUACUAAAGGAACUCGUGACUGCAAACACUGAACGCUGUGCAGGAAUGAGGAAGUAACAGAGACGACUCAACCGGAGAUGGCAGCAACAACAAAUGUAUCGGGAACACGGAGCUCGCUGGGAACAGUAACCUCGUCUCGUUCUUAUGUACAGAAGGAAUAUUUUAUAAACGUUGUGUUUGAGUUCCCCUCCCAUCCCUGGUGAGAAUGGAGGUGAACUUACCCCCUGCAGGUAAUAAAGAAUA